rnacentral:rRNA from 1 species
GGCUGUUCGCCCAUUAAAGCGGUACGCGAGCUGGGUUUAGAACGUCGUGAGACAGUUCGGUCCCUAUCCUCUGCAGCCGGAGGAGAUUUGAGAAAGGCUGUCCCUAGUACGAGAGGACCGGGAUGGACGUAGCUCUAGUGUGCCAGUUGUUCCGCCAGGAGCAUGGCUGGUUGGCCACCUACGGAAGGGAUAACCGCUGAAAGCAUCUAAGUGGGAAGCCCGUUUCAAGAUGAGAUCUCCCACCGGGUUAACCGGGUAAGGCCCGUGGCAGAACACCACGUUGAUAGGCCGGAGGUGUAAGUGCGGCAACGCAUUCAGCCGACCGGUACUAAUCGGCCGAGGGCUUGGUUACA